rnacentral:piRNA from 1 species
UGUAUGAAAAGAAUGGACUAAAAGCAU